AGCGAACGCUGGCGGCAGGCCUAACACAUGCAAGUCGAACGAAGUCUUCGGACUUAGUGGCGGACGGGUGAGUAACACGUGGGAACGUAACUUUUGGUUCGGAACAACUCAGGGAAACUUGUGAUAAUACCGAAUGUGCCCUUCGGGGGAAAGAUUUAUCGCCUUUAGAGCGGCCCGCGUCUGAUUAGCUAGUUGGUGAGGUAAAGGCUCACCAAGGCUACGAUCAGUAGCUGGUCUGAGAGGAUGACCAGCCACAUUGGGACUGAGACACGGCCCAAACUCCUACGGGAGGCAGCAGUGGGGAAUCUUGCGCAAUGGGCGAAAGCCUGACGCAGCCAUGCCGCGUGGAUGAUGAAGGUCUUAGGAUUGUAAAAUCCUUUCACCGGGGACGAUAAUGACGGUACCCGGAGAAGGAGCCCCGGCUAACUUCGUGCCAGCCGCCGCGGUAACAC
rnacentral:rRNA from 1 species